UUGCUAAGACUCUUAUUAGCAUACUCUUAUUAGCUUCAGGUUACUCUCUGUUCUUUGUACAUGCAAAUUUGCAGCUGCAUGAAUUAAAUAUUUUUUCUGCUGAGCUAUAUCUUUAUCAAACUCUCUCAAGGUCGUCACUUCGGUGCUUAUUAGCAUAUACCUUUCCCUGUUAUAUAUGGCUUGUAUUGCAUGUUCCGGACUAGGAGUAUUAGAUUCCAGUUGAAGCCUCUGCACCAAAGACAUUUUCAAAUUGCAGAAUAGGGCAAUUGUUGGGAGCCUGAUAUGGCGCAUUUUCAUUCAUGGGUGAAAUAUGGAGUAAGGGGUGACACGGGACGAGCUUUUAAUGCUGUUGGAUUGAUUGAUUGUUCAGUAAUGGGGAUUCAACAUCUAUAUAGGAAACCAAUUUAUGCGAACCAAGCUCUAUAGUACAAUUCCCCAGAUUAUGGCCCACUGCAUCCAGAUGCUUCUUCGUGGUGUCAAGCCCCUUUGAUCCAGGACUCUUAUGGUUUGUUUACAUUUUCACAGUUCUUGAAUAUUUUUCUAGUCAACCCAAUAUGAGAAGAAGCUAGUGAAGCUCUUUGCACAUUCAAUUACAUGUGUCUCACUGCUAGUGCUGCUAGCAUCCGAUUUGCUGGAAUCUACAUGUUGGUUAAAUCCAUUACAUAU